rnacentral:piRNA from 1 species
UCCGAGCUCACCAAAGAUCACAACACGGG